CAAAGGUCCGAGCGCACGGGGGCGCCUGGGGGCCUGCACGACCCGGGCUCUUGGGAGGUGCAGCGUGCGAGCCUGCGCACCUCGUGCGGGAGGCCGAAUCCCCGAGGGUCGAGCGCGGCCCGGGUGGUGGGGGGUAUUAAUUACUCCGCUGGGCCUAAUGCCUCCAACCCCCAGCGGCGGCUGGCUUGGGUAUCCUGCGGGUUUUAUUUGCACACAAUGGAAAUGAUUUGUUUUCUCUAAAAAAGGAGUGAGUAUGGCAGAUAUUUGAGGAAGGAGGUGGGAGGAGGAGAAGGAAGGGGAGAGAGCUGAGGAAAAAAGUUUGAAAAUGCCUUGAACUAUUCACUGUCGAGAUGGCUAAUCAGUAUUGAGGCCGGAGGGCAGGCGGGCCGCCUUUCACCGCCGCUUUCCUUUCAUCUCGGGCUCGGCGGAGGCGCUCAAUUAAAAGCCUAUCAGUUUGUAAGUAAAUCAACGCCUAUCAGAGUUGUCACAUCAAACAAAACGAUUAUUAUUGCAGCCCGCCUCCCCUAUUAAUCUCCCUCGAAGAUAAUCCGCCUGACAGGUCAGGCCCGGCGAGCUGGAAAGCCUGGCCCAGAGCACCCAAACAGUCCCGGACUGGCGCGCACCCCCAGGGACCUCCCCACCCUCGUCCGGUUCCGCCUUGCAGUCCCCGGGGAGGGACGAGAGAAAGAGCGCUCGAAGGCCCAGGGACAGGACCCGCCUUACUCCACGAGGAGCUGCUCCACGAGGAGCGGGGCCCGGAUUCUCCGGGCCGUAGGGGACCAUCCCGCGCGCAGCCCCCCUUUUCUCGGGGUCUGGGAGGCUCCAAAGAAUCGACGGAUUUCUCUGGCAGUCGUUUGCACUGAAUUUAUCCGAAUAAAGCCCACUCUCAGGCAUCCAGCAGAACCAGCUCUCCACUGGCAAGUACUUGCUGUAGCAGCCAUCUUGUCACCAGGAGGAAAAGUGCAAGAAAACAGCAGAGACUUAAUUCUGAUGUCACUGGGACAUGGACCUACCAUCAGGCCUGCUUCAGCCUCUAGAAGCUAA
rnacentral:lncRNA from 1 species